rnacentral:lncRNA from 1 species
GCGCCCGCCCCGCAGCCCGCGCCCGCCCGCCGCAAGUUUGUUCCCCGCCGCUGCGGCCUGCGCGGAGAGAGGAUCGCGCGCGGGGAGGCGCCGAGGGGCAGCAAGAGUGGAGAAAGUGCGGAAAGAAGCAACAGCCGCUCCACCCGCGGGCGGAAAAGUGGCCGGGCGCGGCGGCGGGAUGCGGCGCAGCUAACGGUCCCGGGCGGCCGCCGGAGCCGCUAGGCGCAGAGGCAGGCUAGCACCUGCGCAGUGAGAGAGAGUUCUUGUCACUGGUGACUCAUCGUGCAGUGAGCACAAGGAAGAGCAACGGGAUAGUGUCUCACAAGUGUAGGGCUGGAGCUACAGGAACCAUCCAGGUGCACUGGCUUUGCCUCUGCAUCUUUCUGUGCCACUGUCUCAUUCUGUUUCCGGCUGUGCAUGGAUGUGGAUGGCCCAGAAAGCAUGGAAGGGGAAUAAACUGGACUGAUCUUCCUGUCCACCCUCCACGACUAACAAGGACUCUGGUGAUCUCGUUCCAGGUGGUGUGAACUUCUCCUGGGACCAUCUGUCCCUCCCAGCAGCUCCAGAGCCACACUGCCUUGGAAGACCCUACAGACAGACUGCUCCACUUUGGCUCUUCUUUCCACAGUGUCUUCAGCAUCUCUGUCUCUCCCAUUCCCACUCCACUUCUUCUAUCUCUCCCCAUGCAAGAGUGGAUCAGCUGCCUCCUGGGCCAGUAGGGUCCUUUGCAGGCGGCCAACCAAGAGAAAGAGGAAGUGGCUCUUGGAAUCACAGACCCAGGCUGGGAAGAGUUUGUGUGAUGCAGUGGCCAUCCCCUAGAGAGCUGCAGUGAUCCUCUCUGAGCCCUUCAGAAAGCGCUACGACCACGAAAAGUUCUCAGGGGGCAGCAGCCAUUUCCCAUAGACGGGCUGUGCCAUGUCCACAUUCACCGUAGGGCAAUUAUGGUGGAGAAGAAAAAGAAACUGGACCGGAUGAACUGUUAAUAAACCUCUUCUUUGACAAGCCACCUCUGUGGUGGCUAAGAUUUCUGCAGCUUCUGGUGGUGAAGAUCACAUAUCUAUAUAGACCUGCUUCACCUUAAAAUGUGGCGCACUAUGAAUGUGUCUGUUUUACUACUGUUGGCACAGAGUGCUGGUUUUCUCUGGCAUGUAAAUCAGAAUUUGUGACUCUGGGAACCUUCUUUCCCUGCCAUGCCAGGCUAUGCAGCUGAAGGGUGCAAAGGAGAGGCCUUUGAUCAGGGUUUCUGGGACCAGUCUCCUGGCUUUCUUCCUGUCUGUCAGCCCCAGAUGCUAUCCUAAACAACAGCUCUACCUUGUGUCUAGCUAGAGAAAGAUUUUCUUUGGGUAUCAUCUUUAGGUAUCAUCCUAAAAUAAAAUCUUUGUCUAAGGUAAUUGUGCAAGGGUUUUCCAGGAAGCAAUAGUUAAGGAAUGAUUGAGAGAAAUGUUUUAGUUAAUUGAAUAUUCUGGCAAAUAAAUGUGACAUUA